GUGGUAACCGUUAUUAUUGGGUCUAAAGGGUCUGUAGCCGGCCGGAUAAGUCUCUUGGGAAAUCUGGCGGCUUAACUGUCAGGCUUUCAGGAGAUACUGUCUGGCUCGAGGCCGGGAGAGGUGAGAGGUACUUCAGGGGUAGGGGUGAAAUCUUGUAAUCCUUGAAGGACCACCAGUGGCGAAGGCGUCCCACCAGAACGGACCUGACGGCAAGGGACGAAAGCUAGGGGCACGAACCGGAUUAGAUACCCGGGUAGUCCUAGCCGUAAACGAUACUCGCUAGGUGUCGGCCACGGUGCGACCGUUGUCGGUGCCGUAGGGAAGCCGUGAAGCGAGCCACCUGGGAAGUACGGCCGCAAGGCUGAAACUUAAAGGAAUUGGCGGGGGAGCACCACAACGGGUGGAGCUUGCGGUUUAAUUGGAUUCAACGCCGGAAAUCUUACCGGGACCGACAGCAAUAUGAAGGCCAGGCUGAAGACUUUGCCGGAUUAGCU
rnacentral:rRNA from 1 species